GCAGCAACAUCAUGUUGAAACAUCGGUUCCUGUACAAUCACUGAAGUUAAGCAAUGUUUAGCCUGGUCAGUACCUAGAUUGGUGAGUGCCUGGGAAUACAAGAUGCUGUAGC